UACGGGGGGGGCAAGCGUUGUUCGGAAUUACUGGGCGUAAAGGGCUGGUAGGCGGCCAACUAAGUCGGAUGUGAAAUCCCCAGGCUUAACCUGGGAACUGCAUCCGAUACUGGUCGGCUUGAAUCCGGGAGGGGGAUGCAGAAUUCCAGGUGUAGUGGUGAAAUGCGUAGAGAUCGGCAGGAACACCCAGGGGGAAACCAGCCGACUGGGCAUCUGCUGACGCUGAGGUGCGAGAGCGUGGGGAGCGAACCGG
rnacentral:rRNA from 1 species